GACGAACGCUGGCGGCGUGCCUAAUACAUGCAAGUCGAACGCAGUGGGGACGGGUGAGUAACACGUGGGUCACCUCCCAUCAGAGGGGAUAACACUUGGACACAGGUGCUAAACCGAUACUGAUGGAUGGACCCGCGGUGCAUUAGCUAGUGGGUGAGGUAACGGCGCACCAAGGCCACGAUGCAUAGCCGACCUGAGAGGGGGAUCGGACAAAAGGGGACUGAGACACGGCCCAGACUCCUACGGGAGGAAGCAGUAGGGAAUCUUCGGCAAUGGACGAAAGUCUGACCGAGCAACGCCGCGUGAGUGAAGAAGGUUGUCGGAUCGUAAAACUCUGUUGUUAGAGAAGCGGUAUCUAACCAGAAAGCCACGGCUAACUACGUGCCAGCCGCCGCGGUAAUAC
rnacentral:rRNA from 1 species